AGAGCCGUCAAACAGGCAAAGCGUCAAUACAGAAUUACGGAGGGAGCCAAUAACACUGAACCAUGCAUGAGAGCACCAGCAGUUCCCGGAUGACUGUGUGAUCUCGCUCUCCGUAGCCGAUAUCCAUGUAGUGAAGAAUGAGGAAGACGAGGAAGAUGAGGAAGAUGUGGAGAAAUCCAUUGCCUUUAUUACCAGGCUGUUUUAAUACCGUCCUCGGCUCCAGAGACCCCUGGUUGCACUGAACAGAACAAUUAAACGGAGACCACGUUACCAACUGUCGCAUCCUGACCAUAGUUGGCUGUGUACGUUUCUAUGUUUUGUUUGGUCAGGGUGUGAUCUGAGUGGGCAUUCUAUGUUACAUGUCUAGUUUAUCUAUUUCUAUGUUUGGCCUGAUAUGGUUCUCAAUCAGAGGCAGGUGUUAGUCAUUGUCUCUGAUUGGGAACCAUAUUUAGGUUUUGUGGGUGAUUGUUCCUGUCUCUGUGUUUGUUGCACCAGAUAGGGCUGUUUUGUUUUUUUCACGUUUCUUGUUUUGUAGAUUGUUGUAUUUUCAUCUUUAUUAAAGAUGUACAAAACUAA